UACGUAGGGUGCAAGCGUUAAUCGGAAUUACUGGGCGUAAAGCGUGCGCAGGCGGUUGUGCAAGACAGGUGUGAAAUCCCCGGGCUUAACCUGGGAACUGCACUUGUGACUGCACGGCUAGAGUACGGUAGAGGGGGAUGGAAUUCCGCGUGUAGCAGUGAAAUGCGUAGAUAUGCGGAGGAACACCAAUGGCGAAGGCAAUCCCCUGGACCUGUACUGACGCUCAUGCACGAAAGCGUGGGGAGCAAACGGG
rnacentral:rRNA from 1 species